rnacentral:rRNA from 1 species
GACGAACGCUGGCGGCGUGCUUAACACAUGCAAGUCGAACGGAAAGGCCCUGCUUUUGUGGGGUGCUCGAGUGGCGAACGGGUGAGUAACACGUGAGUAACCUGCCCUUGACUUUGGGAUAACUUCAGGAAACUGGGGCUAAUACCGGAUAGGAGCUCCUGCUGCAUGGUGGGGGUUGGAAAGUUUCGGCGGUUGGGGAUGGACUCGCGGCUUAUCAGCUUGUUGGUGGGGUAGUGGCUUACCAAGGCUUUGACGGGUAGCCGGCCUGAGAGGGUGACCGGCCACAUUGGGACUGAGAUACGGCCCAGACUCCUACGGGAGGCAGCAGUGGGGAAUAUUGCACAAUGGGCGGAAGCCUGAUGCAGCAACGCCGCGUGCGGGAUGACGGCCUUCGGGUUGUAAACCGCUUUCGCCUGUGACGAAGCGUGAGUGACGGUAAUGGGUAAAGAAGCACCGGCUAACUACGUGCCAGCAGCCGCGGUGAUACGUAGGGUGCGAGCGUUGUCCGGAUUUAUUGGGCGUAAAGGGCUCGUAGGUGGUUGAUCGCGUCGGAAGUGUAAUCUUGGGGCUUAACCCUGAGCGUGCUUUCGAUACGGGUUGACUUGAGGAAGGUAGGGGGAGAAUGGAAUUCCUGGUGGAGCGGUGGAAUGCGCAGAUAUCAGGAGGAACACCAGUGGCGAAGGCGGUUCUCUGGGCCUUUCCUGACGCUGAGGAGCGAAAGCGUGGGGAGCGAACAGGCUUAGAUACCCUGGUAGUCCACGCUGUAAACGGUGGGUACUAGGUGUGGGGUCCAUUCCACGGGUUCCGUGCCGUAGCUAACGCUUUAAGUACCCCGCCUGGGGAGUACGGCCGCAAGGCUAAAACUCAAAGGAAUUGACGGGGCCCCGCACAAGCGGCGGAGCAUGCGGAUUAAUUCGAUGCAACGCGUAGAACCUUACCUGGGUUUGACAUGGAUCGGGAGUGCUCAGAGAUGGGUGUGCCUCUUUUGGGGUCGGUUCACAGGUGGUGCAUGCCUGUCGUCAGCUCGUGUCGUGAGAUGUUGGGUUAAGUCCCGCAACGAGCGCAACCCUUGUUCACUGUUGCCAGCACGUUAUGGUGGGGACUCAGUGGAGACCGCCGGGGUCAACUCGGAGGAAGGUGGGGAUGACGUCAAGUCCUCAUGCCCCUUAUGUCCAGGGCUUCACGCAUGCUACAAUGGCUGGUACAGAGAGUGGCGAGCCUGUGAGGGUGAGCGAAUCUCGGAAAGCCGGUCUCAGUUCGGAUUGGGGUCUGCAACUCGACCUCAUGAAGUCGGAGUCGCUAGUAAUCGCAGAUCAGCAACGCUGCGGCGAAUAAAUUCCCGGGGCU